AUGGUUGACACCAUAGACGGUGAGGAGGAGCACCCCGGUGUGAUUCCGUCCUCGUCUACGACCGAUGGGGGAACCUCGGUCUCACAUGAGGAUUUCAAUGUAGCCUUGGACACAUUGAAAACCUCCAUGACAGCCGAGGUCAAAGGCAUGCUUAAGAACUUUCUUGAUGGUCUUAAAUUGUCCACCGCACCGUUGGAAGUGGUCGAUCCCACUAACAAGGUGACGGAUGCUAACUCUGACAAGGGGGAAGCUACUAGUGAUAAAGUUUAUUUGUCUAGUGGUAAAAGUGGAAACGGCAUCUUUGCCCAUGUUGAAUCUCCUCUUACUUAUGGAGGACCGGUUCCCUCCACUCAUUUAAAUCAUGUGGGUUCUCCUCCUAAGAUUGUGAAAAAUGAGGAUUUUGACUCUUGGAUCUAUUGCUUUAAACGUCAUUUAAAUAAUGUCAAUACUAAUUUUUGGAGAAUCAUUGAGCAAGGUUUCUAUCCGCAUGACCCAAGCAACUUCACCCCUAGAGAAGCCGCGGAUCAUCAAUUCAACGAGAAUGCUCUCUUCAUCAUCCAAGAUGCAAUUCCAUCCGAAGAUAUUGCACAUCUUCGACCUUUCACCAUGGCCAAGGAAGCAGGGCACCAUGUUGUUUCCCUUUACAAGGGAAGCGCAGGCAUUCAACGCUCCAACUAUGAAGUGGUGCAAGAUGAAGCCGAUGAGUUUGCAGUGAAUGAAGAUGAAGAACGUCUAGAGCUUUACCGGAGAUUAACCACUGCCGCGGUCUCACUCCGAGAUCAUGGGAGCGAGGAUACGGAUGAAAAUUGGAUCAAGCGCAAGUUCCUCAAGGCCAUGAUGCCUUACCACAAGGCCAUGUCCUCCGUCAUUCGUCAAAGGUCGGACUUCCACACCUUGUCUUCAAGUGAAGUGUUGGAUGAGUUUGUGGCUAUGAGGAUCUUGGACAAGACCGCCGACAAUGCGGUGUUGCAUUCUCAAAGAGCAAAGAAGCCCAACCUUGCCUUGAAUGCCAAGGCUAGUGUGGAAGAAGAGGACGAAGAGGAAGAAGAGGAGAGCAACCCCGAAGAUACGAAAUAUGCUUAUCAUGAGCACAUGGCUCUCGCUUCAAGGCAAUUUUGGAUCAAGAAGAACACAAGGCCCAACUUCAACAAGAACAACUCAAGUGGCGUGAAGGGCAAGCAACGUGUGAGGACUUGCUAUAAUUGUGGGAAUGUGAGCCAUUUUUUUUGCAGAGUGCCCAUAUGA
rnacentral:rRNA from 1 species